UAGGGAAUCUUCCACAAUGGACACAAGUCUGAUGGAGCAACGCCGCGUGAGUGAAGAAGGCUUUCGGGUCGUAAAACUCUGUUAUUGAAGAAGAACGUGUGUGACAGUAACUGGUCAUGCAGUGACGGUAUUCAAUCAGAAAGUCACGGCUAACUACGUGCCAGCAGCCGCGGUAAUACGUAGGUGGCAAGCGUUGUCCGGAUUUAUUGGGCGUAAAGCGAGUGCAGGCGGUCUUUUAAGUCUGAUGUGAAAGCCUUCGGCUUAACCGAAGAAGGGCAUCGGAAACUGGGAGACUUGAGUGCAGAAGAGGAGAGUGGAACUCCAUGUGUAGCGGUGAAAUGCGUAGAUAUAUGGAAGAACACCAGUGGCGAAGGCGGCUCUCUGGUCUGUAACCGACGCUGAGGCUCGAAAGCGUGGGUAGCAAACAGGAUUAGAUACCCUGGUAGUCCACGCCGU
rnacentral:rRNA from 1 species